GGGAGCAUAACAUGGAUGUGGGGCAGGAGAGGCCGUGGUCGGAGCGGCAUUGCGUGGGCAUAUUGGGUAUUAUUUGAGCUGAUACUCCAUUUUCUUACAAGAGAUGUGGUCCCAUCAAUGUUGGCUGUCGAAUUUGUGCUGCAGUCCAUGCCCACCACGUCCGAGUCUUCGCCCCUUCGUCAUCCAACACAAACAGCAGAACAGAGUAGCAGUUGUGAUUUGCCAGGUUGGAGAACUGACGCAGCUUGCUGUCACAGAGUGCUCGCCCUUCUUCUGUGCCAUAAAGCCCCUCGGUCGAAACUUGCAAAUCAAAAUUGCCGACCCUGUCAAUCUCGCUGGAACGACGUCUAGCUCGUUGUGCUCCACUCACUGUAAGUACCUUGACCUCUGCUUAUUCUGAACCAUUUAUUUAUCUGUUUGGGCUGUAAUUUGUAAGUUUGCUUUCUUAGUAAAGAACUAAAUAAAGCUUUGCUGCUGAUGACUAUUUUCUUGGAUAAGAUUAUAUUCUUUAGAUUGUGAUCUGACCUAUUUGUGAUUUCUAUCUCAGCUAACGGCAUAUCUCAUAACUAAAGCUAUGAACAAGUGCUUCAGUUAUGUUGGUGGCAAUACAUUGCUUGAGGUGACCUCGUGUGCAAGAUUAUCCCCAUGGAGGGCGCUAGCACGGAGACAUUUGCUCACAUCAGUACUAUGAGCAGCCUGGUUGGGUGGUGACGUUUCCGAGUGGCCAAGCAAGAGCUUUUUUUGGUCUACACCUAUGCAGUGGUGACUUCUGCUACAAUGUGCAUCAACACCAGAACCAUGUUCCUGAUCAUGGACGCUGUUGUGUCCCUCACCGGCUCUCUCCUUGCCAUCACCGACAGGGUUGUGCAGGCCACUACUCGCGCAACUACUUUGCAGUGUGGAGCAUGCCAUCGAGAUAGACCAAAAGAAGAACACCGCCGGCAACAACACCAAUGGGGGCCUCCCUGGUUUCCACCACCGCCGUUGCCAUCGUCGCCCUCCCCGCCGCCCCACACCACACUGCCAGAUAGGUCUGUGUGCUUUGCCCUUGCCCCCUGCUUAUUGCACUCAGGAUGUGUUGGUGCCAUGCUUUGCCUAUAUGUAAUCUCCUAUUCUGUUGUAAAAUUCUUUUUGCUUAUGAUUUCUUACUGUAGUGUGAAAUUCUAAUUGCUUGGGUUGUUACUGCUAUGCAAAUAUAUUGCUAUAUUUUAGGUUUGUUACUUUAGUCUCUCUUCCUCCCUUGUUUUAUAAUGGCAUGAAAUUCUAUUUUGCUGCAAGAUCGAAGAGAUUUUUUUGAACACAAUCUGUGUCGUGAGGACUGAAUUACUUGUAGCUAUGAUAUCUUUUAAUUUUGGUCAUCUGUAUUUUACAGGAGUUCCAGUGUAUAUUUAUUUUUCAUCCUUAUCAAAAUAAGGAUGCACCUUGAAUUAUAUGCAGUUUUGAAGACCAUCGUUUGGAAUUUUAUGCAGUUUCUUUUGAUGAAAAUAUUUAGUUUGUCGUAAAAUUCCAAUGAAUACAAUUCUGGAUGAGGACAGAAUAAUGUGUAGCUAUGAUGGAUGUUCUUAUUCCAGUGACUCAUCAUCCGGAGAUAAUAGUAAGAUGAAUUAUCAAUUAUGGCUUUCUUUCAAUAUAUCAUACCGAACGUUCAUCCUUUGGGCAGCA